UAGCUCCGCCUUCAGUCUAAUGACCUUACA
rnacentral:piRNA from 1 species